rnacentral:tRNA from 1 species
GCCGACGUGGCGGAAUUGGUAUACGCGCGUGCCUUAGAAGCACGUUCCCAAAAGGAUUAAGAGUUCGAGUCUCUUCGUCGGCA